rnacentral:rRNA from 1 species
GGAUACGCUGGCGGCGUUGCUUACACUGCAGUUAAACUACCUUCGGGUUAGUGGCGGACGGGUGAGUAACGCGUGAGAAUCUGCCCUCAGGAGGGGGACAACAGUUGGAAACGACUGCUAAUACCCCAUAUGCCGCGACGGUGAAAUGAAUUUCGCCUGAGCGAUGAGCUCGCGUCUGAUUAGCUAGUUGGUGUAGGUAAUGGCUAACCAAGGCAUCGAUCAGUAGCUGGUCUGAGAGGAUGAUCAGCCACACUGGGACUGAGACACGGCCCACGACUCCUACGGGAGGCAGCAGAUGGGGAAUUUUCCGCAAUGGGCGAAAGCCUGACGGAGCAACGCCGCGUGAGGGAUGAAGGCCUCUGGGCUGUAAACCUCUUUUAUCAAGGAACGAAGAUCUGACGGUACUUGAUGAAUAAAGCCACAGGCUAAUUCCGUGCCAGCAGCCGCGGUAAUACGGGAGUGGCAAGCGUUAUCCAGGAAUUCAUUGC